rnacentral:lncRNA from 1 species
AUGAUUCAUACGGAGAUCCUUUGGACAGAUAAGCAAACACAUCGCUAUUUGGGUUUUCGGUGUAGACUAUAUUUGUGUCUGCACAAGUCUCGUGCACUUGUAGGCACUACAUUGGUCGCACUUCAUCUGUGGAAAGACAUUUUAACCGAGCUCCGAAAGAGAGAAACAGGGCUCCUUAGAGGAACGACCACAGAUGCAGAGAAAUUAAGACCGUUUAGGACCCCUUUCGGCAACGUCGAUCACUCGGAGGUCUCCAGCUCUGCCCCCGGAGAGACCCAUCCAGUAGGUUUCAAAGGUCAUUAAAAUCAUCAGAACUCCUUUGACACUCACAAAAGUCAGGCAUUUUAGAGAUGAUCUGGAACAAAAUCAUAACAUCCUCCCUCCCACAGUUCAGUUAAUUGAUUAAAUUAACUGAAUAAUUGAUCGCUUACCUAAGUGCCUUUCAGGGUGUUGAAGAAAGAACAGGAUUGCGGGUGACCAACAGGACGAGCUGCUCUCUCCAGAUUCUUUCAGAAGUGCCUCCUUCCUUCUUUGAUAUAAAAGUUUUAAGGGUGAGCUCAGUGAUAAGUCAUCUUCACCUGUGAAAACUGUCACUUUCACUUUCUGGAGGCGUUUGUUGAGGUGUAAUUGGUCUGUUCCUGGGGUGGAGCUGCUGUCUGAGGGGAGGGGUGCUGUCUGUGCUCUCGUCCAGAUUAUUGUAAUUAACAAUAUCAGAACUUCUCACCCAGGAGAUCCUGUGCUGUAUCCUCACAGCCCUUCAGAUGCAGAGAUUUUAACAGUCUGCAGAGCACAGUGCUCUGUGACAAACUGUAGCAGCUGUAUGACUGUUUUAGCUGCGUCUUUGGCGGCCCCUAGUGGCAGCACUGUUGUUACUGCAGCCCCUUCAUGAGACGAGGAGGUCUCCAGUGUUCGGACGCAUCAUUAUUUUUUUACGUGAUUUGUUAUUUCAGGCUCCAGGUUCGUGAGGUAGUAUCUUGACUUUUUAUUAAAUUGAAGCCAGCGGUUUUGAGUCUGUGUCCAGUCAGAUACUGGAUAAUGUUUAUGUUCUCUAACUAUACUGUAGAACCGAGGUCCUGACUCUCUGUGGUCAUUAACAAUCCCAGGGUGUCUCUUGAGAAGAGUAGGGGUGUCACCCCGGUGUCCUGGCCAAAUUACCCCCCUGGUCUUUACCCAUCAUGGCCUCCUAAUAACCUCCCUCUCUGAACUGGCUUCAUCACUCUGUUCUCCUCCCCACUGAGAGCUGGUGUGUGGGGAGAAGACUGGAGCAUCAUCCAGGUGGGGCUGCACACUGGUGGGGGUAGUGGGAUCCCCAGGACCUGUAAAGAGCUGCACACUGGUGGCGGUGGUGGGAUCCCCCGUUACCUGCAAAAAGCACUUUGAUGGUGAGUGUCCAGAUAAAUAAUAAUAAUAAUAAUAAUAAUAAUGAUAAUAAUGAUAAGAAUUAUUAUUAUUAAUGUUUACAAGAUACUGAUGUAUGUGUAUCUAGUAUGCAAGAUGACAGAGGAAUCUGUUCUGGAAAUAAAUGAACAAGCACCAGACUGUGGUGAUAUUUGUUCCAUCAGUGCUGCCUUUAUAUACCACUCGACCUACAUGAAGCUCUGAUAACAUUCACAGUGGUGAAAAUAUGACCGUUGUAGAAACCAAGAAAUUCGAGCCUGAAGUGUUCGUUCGUCCAGCCAAGCUUUAUUGUAUGCAUACAAGGAACUACAAUAAGCACCAUAAUAGUUCUAGUACCGAUUGCAGCUCCAAGUGGAUAUGGUCCUACAGAACUUAAAUAUACGUCCCCACCCCUCCUCCUCCCUCCUGUCUUUGAUGUAACUGAAGGAAAUAGAAACCUUCCUUUGUCAUCAGGAGUCUAGUGCAAACAUUCACCAUUUAGGGUAAGUACAGGGGGAGGAAAAGCCUUUGUGAUCAAGCAGGCGCGAUGAUUACAGUUCAGCAUGUAAAAGCCAUUAGCAGGCUCCAUCACCGUCAAUGUGUCCAUAUAUGCUUUCUCUCCUGAGGUUCAGCUUCAGCUGUGACUGAAUUUAGCCAGAGGAGGAUCUUAUAAAAACUGAGGGAAGUGGUUGUCGGAUCCUGAGGUAAAAGCGGCUGUAUCUGCCGCUAUCUAC